rnacentral:rRNA from 1 species
GACGAAGGGGCUAGCGUUGUUCGGAAUUACUGGGCGUAAAGCGAGUGUAGGUGGUUGUCACAGUCAGGUGUGAAAGCCUUGAGCUCAACUCAAGAAAUGCACUUGAUACUAGGCGACUAGAGGACCGGAGAGGAUAGUGGAAUUCCCAGUGUAGUGGUGAAAUACGUAGAGAUUGGGAAGAACACCAGUGGCGAAGGCGGCUAUCUGGACGGUUUCUGACACUAAGACUCGAAAGCGUGGGGAGCAAACAGG